UCAUGCAAACAGCCGUCAACUGCCGACUU
rnacentral:sRNA from 1 species